UAGAUAAUAACAUUAGAUUAUGAAUUUAAACAAAAAUGCUAAAUAUUCGAAGAAUAUAUACAGAUAUGUACAAAGAAAAUUACUUCUGAUUGUUGCCCAAAAUUAAUAAGGAAAACGGCACCGUUCGUUUUGACAUCACCAAAACGGUGCCGUUCUGCUUUUUCUUUUUUGGCCACACUGUCCCUCUCCGUACUUCUCGCUGGCGACAGUCGGUCGGAUUCACCCGGCCGACGUCGGAAUUCUCCCCUGAUUCCACCUCUAGAAAUAGUAAUGGCUUUGGAACACGGCCCUUCGAGUUUCAUCUAAUGGUCUCAACAAAAUCCCCAGAAAGUCCUUCUCCGGUUACACGUCUGUCUUUUUUCUCCGCUGUUCACCGCUCGAGGCAGUCGCCGGCAUCCCCGAUUUCUGGAACAUCAUGCAGAUGAGGUUUUGGUUGUGAAUGAUGAUGAAAAUGUGGAUGUAUCACUAUCAAAUUCGACUACAAAAAACCAAGGAUGCAUCAUAUACUAGUCUUUCAAAGAGAAAUGGGAUGGAAAAUGUGGAAGCACAUCCCGAGAACUAUUGCCAUAACGAUAAGUAUCCUUUUUGUAGCACUUAUUCUAAUAAAGCAUAUGAAGAGAAUGUGAUUUUCGAAAGUGAAGAUAAGGAUGAGGAAGAGGAAGAGGACGUAGGAGAGAAUUCAAAAUCAUUCGACUCAUCAGUCAGUUGAGGUGUUUUUGAUGCAAAAGUUGCAAGAAUACUAAUAGCAAAAAUGAUCCUAAUUGAUAAAUUGCCCCUCAAGUAUAUGGAGGAGGAAGGGUUUAGAAGGUUUGUGGAGCAGACUCUAUGUGAAUAUGCUCCAAGGAUUUAAAUUCCCUCCCUACCCACAAUAGCUAUGGAUAUAUUGGAAAUAUACAAAGAAGAGACAAUUUUUGAAAAACAUUUUCGCUGAACAAGGUCCUAGAGUUUCUCCCACAAUCAAUACUUGGAGAUCAGAUGAAGAUAUGAACUAUAUAGUUCCUACCGCACAUUUCAUUAACAACGAUUUGAAAAUGCAGAAGAGGAUUCUUAAUUUUCAUCAAAUUGAGAAUAACAAGGAGAGAUUAGGAAGGGAAGUUGAAAAAUGUUUGAAGCAGUGGGGUUGACAAAAUAUUGACGUUGGCGGUGGAUAACACUUGACACUGUCAUUGCUUAUUUAGUUAACUGGUUCAAGAAUGAGUUAGUUUUGUAGGGUAAAAAUGUGGAUGUUAGAUAUUGUGCGUAUAUUUUCAAUUUGAUUGCAUGUGAUGUUUUGAAAGAUUUUCACCAGUUGGUAUCUAAGAUCCGAUAUGUGGUUAAGUUUGUGAUAUCUUCACCUGCACGAUAUAGUUGCUUUGAAAAGUGUGUUAAGGAGGAGAACAUAUCGAGCAAUAGUGUUUUGUGCUUUGAUGUUCCGACUCUUCCAACUAGGUUGGACUCCACCUACCUAAUGCUGAAGGAGGCAAAAAAGUUUGAAAAGGCCUUUCAGAAACUAAAGAUCCAUGACUUGGCUAAUGUGAAUGAGGAUAUUCCCUCUAGUAAAGAUUGGGAGGUUGUUAGAUCACUUGUUCAUUGUUUAUCAUUAUUCUAUGAAACGAAUUUAAAGAAUUUCUGGUUCGCUUCAUGUUCCUUCAAGUGGGAUCUUUCAUGAGAUUCGCUUUACCAAAAUUUCAUCAAAAUACAUUCUUUGAGUAAUGAUAAUCUUGUUCUUAAUGA